AACGAACGCUGGCGGCAUGCCUAACACAUGCAAGUCGAACGAGACCUUCGGGUCUAGUGGCGCACGGGUGCGUAACGCGUGGGAACCUGCCCUUAGGUUCGGAAUAACUCCCCGAAAGGGGUGCUAAUACCGGAUAAUGUCUUCGGACCAAAGAUUUAUCGCCUUUGGAUGGGCCCGCGUUGGAUUAGCUAGUUGGUAGGGUAAAAGCCUACCAAGGCGACGAUCCAUAGCUGGUCUGAGAGGAUGAUCAGCCACACUGGGACUGAGACACGGCCCAGACUCCUACGGGAGGCAGCAGGGGGGAAUAUUGGACAAUGGGCGAAAGCCUGAUCCAGCAAUGCCGCGUGAGUGAUGAAGGCCUUAGGGUUGUAAAGCUCUUUUACCCGGGAUGAUAAUGACAGUACGGGGAGAAUAAGCUCCGGCUAACUCCGU
rnacentral:rRNA from 1 species